rnacentral:rRNA from 1 species
UACGAAGGGGGCUAGCGUUGCUCGGAAUUACUGGGCGUAAAGCGCACGUAGGCGGCUUGUUAAGUCAGGGGGUGAAAUCCUGGAGCUCAACUCCAGAACUGCCUUUGAUACUGGCGAGCUUGAGUUCGGGAGAGGUGAGUGGAACUGCGAGUGUAGAGGUGAAAUUCGUAGAUAUUCGCAAGAACACCAGUGGCGAAGGCGGCUCACUGGCCCGAUACUGACGCUGAGGUGCGAAAGCGUGGGGAGCAACAGGAUAAGAUA